GACGAACGCUGGCGGCGUGCCUAACACAUGCAAGUCGAACGGAGUGUUUAUUUAUAAACACUUAGUGGCGAACGGGUGAGUAACGCGUAGACAACCUACCCUCUAGAUGGGGACAACACCGCGAAAGUGGUGCUAAUACCGAAUGUUGUAAUGUUGUUGCAUAAUGAUAUUACUAAAGGUGGCCUCUAUAUAAAAGCUACCGCUAGAAGAUGGGUCUGCGUCUGAUUAGCUAGUUGGUGAGAUAACAGCUCACCAAGGCAAUGAUCAGUAGCCGGUCUGAGAGGAUGAACGGCCACACUGGGACUGAGACACGGCCCAGACUCCUACGGGAGGCAGCAGUGGGGAAUCUUCCGCAAUGGACGAAAGUCUGACGGAGCAACGCCGCGUGAGUGAAGAAGGUUUUCGGAUCGUAAAGCUCUGUCUUCAAGGACGAAUGUGGAUAUUGUGAAUAAUGAUAUUUAAUGACGGUACUUGAGGAGGAAGCCACGGCUAACUACGUGCCAGCAGCCGCCGUAAGAC
rnacentral:rRNA from 1 species